GGGGUUGCGGACAUAUCAUAACGAAGAGGUAUCGUAAUUGAAGAGGGUUGGAAAGACCCACCACAGAAGGUAAUAGUCCUGGAUGUUAAACGAGAAGACUUUAGAUAUGAUCCAGAGUACCACGGGACACGUGAAACCCUGUGGGAAGCAGGAGGGACCACCCUCCAAGGCUAAAUACUACCUAGUGACCGAUAGCGUAUAGUACCGUGAGGGAAAGGUGAAAAGAACCCCG
rnacentral:rRNA from 1 species